GACGAACGCUGGCGGCGUGCCUAAUACAUGCAAGUCGAACGCACUCUCGUUUAGAUUGAAGGAGCUUGCUCCUGAUUGAUAAACAUUUGAGUGAGUGGCGGACGGGUGAGUAACACGUGGGUAACCUGCCCUAAAGUGGGGGAUAACAUUUGGAAACAGAUGCUAAUACCGCAUAAAACCUAACACCGCAUGGUGUAGGGUUGAAAGAUGGUUUCGGCUAUCACUUUAGGAUGGACCCGCGGUGCAUUAGUUAGUUGGUGAGGUUAAAAGGGCCUCACCAAGACCGUGAUGCAUAGCCGACCUGAGAGGGUAAUCGGCCACACUGGGACUGAGACACGGCCCAGACUCCUACGGGAGGCAGCAGUAGGGAAUCUUCCACAAUGGACGAAAGUCUGAUGGAGCAACGCCGCGUGAGUGAAGAAGGUUUUCGGAUCGUAAACUCUGUUGUUGGAGAAGAAUGUAUCUGAUAGUAACUGAUCAGGUAGUGACGGUAUCCAACCAGAAAGCCACGG
rnacentral:rRNA from 1 species